ensembl:lncRNA
UCGCUGUUAUUAAAGGAACCUCGCAUUUGACAGAUCCUCUCCUGCCCACAGGCGGCUCUCAGGCACUCUGCCAAGUGGACGCCGAGGCGCACCUGGACUCCGCCACGCCCCCGCAGCUCAUUGGACGUCAAGGGAUGAUGGACGUGGUUGCCAGGGGUAACGACGCAUUGAUUGGCCGCGGGGAAGUCUCCACAAACACUACUCUCUUUGUUGGAGAGGUGCGAGUUGAGGCUCCCGUGGAAGCGGAGAGCCGGAGUGCAGGAUGGGGAGACGGAGCACCGGGAUCAGCAGUGCAACUUUCCUCCCCCCCCCCCUCCUCCCCUCCUCACGGCUCACAGCUUCUCCUCCUCCCGGAUCUGAAGCGUCGGACUGCUGACGACAUCCUGGAGAUUCUUUGAUGAGAAGAAGAAAAAGACAACAACAAGGCGCCGAGAGCUGCAGCUAAUGGAAAGGCUGUAAUUGUGAAUGGGGGGCAUUCAUCUGGAGACGUCGUCCGUGAAUUGCGCCGCACAAAGCGCAGCGCCGGGCUGCUCAGAUCACCAGCUAGUCACCAAACACGCACACACACACAUGCACACACACUGACGCACACACCGAAGCCCCUUAGAUCACUGGUGCUCGGAGGAGGAGCGUAAUCACACCUCGGCCCGGGAGCAGGACAACGGGGAGGGGAGAAGGAGUGAUGGACUGGGGGCGGGGGGAUUUAUACAACGAGAGGUGAAGGAGGAGACAGGGUUGUGAAAUUGGAGUUUCCGACCAUUUCAUUUGGACCAUGCAGCCCACGAGGAAGAUCAGAUAGAGCCACAUUCGCUUGACCCCCCCACACACACACAUGCAUACACACAAGCAAAAAAAAGCAUGGUCUCUUUCCCACAUAGGCAAGGCUGCACGCACAUACAAAGUGUAACACACAGACAUACAAAACUUAACAAUAUGUGUGUAACUUCAGAUCAGAGAACUAUCUAACGAGCGCCGCGCUUCUCUCCUCCAGCUGAAACACACACACACACACACACACACACACACACACACACACACACACACACACACACACACACACACACACACACACACACACACACACUCACUCACCCCCCCUCGACCAAACAAACACCAUUAAGCCAAAACCCACAUAAAGACGGCUGAAAAAGACGCAUCAAAGUGACGGUACGUGUAAAGACAACCCUCAUGUCAGCGCGGCGGCUCCUGUACCUCCAGAGAAACAUCAGGAAACGACAACUCAAUUAAACACACCGUCCCUGUUCAAUUACUGCCACAUAAUCACUGCAUUUUAGCGUCACUUGCCACCAAACCAACACAAACACAUGCAAGCACGCGUACAGAGUCAGAGAAGCAACGCGCACACACACACACACACACACACACACACGCUGGAGCUUCAUCCUCCACAGCGUGUGCUUAAAGCUCGGUUGUAAAACAAUUACAUGUGCAACUGUGUCCACUGUACUGUAAACAGCGUCAUUCAGUUUCACAGUGUCUGUCCUGUGCUGUUGCCUUUACUUUAGCAAAAAAGCACAUUAUAAAUGUUAUAAAUGUCUUAAACUGUCGGAAUACAGAAAAUUACAUCUGCAAGUAGGUCAACUGAGGUGUGAAUGAAAGGAGAGCUCCAGCGUUUCAGCCAAUUCUUGACAGGCUGAGAUUCUAGACAUCCAUUGCUGUUAUGUAAGAGAUGCAUUAAAACCUCCCCUCUGUUUCUUCAUGUAACUGUUUGAGAAAGCUGUUGAGUCAACUGAUUUUCAGAUUUAUGGUGCUGUUAAUACAGUGCAUGAUUCUGAGAGGUGUUUCUCAUAUUAUGUCAACCCUUUUUACAUUUGGACCAUUAUGAAGCCUGCAUUUGUUGUAGCUGGGUGAACCAAAUAUAAUGGCAACUGUACUUUCACUACAAUUCACUAUUAUUUGUGAGACAUGGGAGCUUCAUGGGCUCAGGUGGGUUAUAUUAAUCAUAAAAGAUUCAUAAACAAACUUUUGUGCAAACCAUUCUUAUCAUAAUUUGAUUAAAAGAGGGGAUUUUUAGGGUUGGUGCUCGACGGCUCUAAGUCUUAAUGCAACAGCAAAUAACCAUUCUAAACAAUAGUGUUUAAAUGUAAAAUAACAUCAAUAUAUCCAAAUUAAUAUAUUCUAAAAGCAGCAUAACAGGAGUUUGUCUAAAUUUUAAAUCAGAAAGGAAAAAAUGUUGGAAUGAAACGUGGAGCCGGCAAACGACUACAAAAUGAUGGAAUUGGGGAAAAGAGUGAGGAAUGGCAACACUGUAGGAACCUGUUAAUGAGUAGUGUGUGUGUGUGUGUGUGCGUACAUGUGUGUUUGUGGAAAGCAGAUUGACUAACAGCUUGAACUUGGGUUUGAUCCAGAAGCACGGGGAGAGAAACAUGGAUGGAUGGAGAGAGAGGGAGAGGAGGAGGGAGAGAAGGAGGGAGAGCCAUUGAUUUCUCAACAGAGACAUCAGCAUCUUGACACACAGGGUUCCCACUGUCCUCCGUGACCUUUCCGUGUCCCUCCAGGUUUCCUGAACCAAGCUGAAAUGACUGAAAAAGUGAAGCUACUACAAAAAUGUAAAUAAAUCCUUCUACAAAAUGUCCAAACGUUCAAAGGUACAUUUGUGAAGGUCCUUGAUUUCUCCUGAUUAUCUUUCAAAAGUCCAUGGUAUCCCAGGACCACCUUGACCGGAAGAACCCCCCCCCGAUGACACAGACCAACAGCAUGGUGUGGUUCACGUCUCUCUCCCAGCAUGCAGCGGUGAUUCUAACAACCCUAAAACCCCCGACAGGGAGACGCAGGACGCUGCGGUUGCUUCAUGCUGGUGUGGCUAACGAGAAGUGUGUGUGUUUUCGAGGUCUCGGGCACCAGGAGAGCUGACUCACACCGUGUGAGAGGAGCCGGCAUCGGAGAGGUGCAUUCAGGGGUCACUCUGUAAUUACACAUCACGCCCGUGGUCCUGCGGUCAGGGGCCCCACUGACCUCCUCAGACCACGGUGAGAGGCUCAGAGUGUCAGCGGAAGGCAGCUGGAGGUUCGGAGCGGAGGGUUUGCAGAGCUUCCAGAAAACUUCUGUCAUCUCAUAUUGAAUGACUCGUUUCUCUGUUUUUUUUCCGUUUUCAUUUGCUGCGUUUAAUCAGCUGAUACAUUGAUUCAUUUGACUUCCAGUGGGUGUUGUUUCUAGAAAGUACACCGUGUCAAACCUCCACAGCAACCCCGCCUCCAUUCUCACCUCAGCUCGCACGUGUUCAAAGCAGCGCGAGCGCUCGACGCUCUCACGUACCGUGCGCGGCCCGGCGUGGGCGGUAGGUGCCGUAGAGGAUGAGUGUGGCGCUGAGCACGGCUCCGGAUGCCUGUUCGUCACUCGGCCUCGAACAGCUCAUCGCUGUGCCUUUGUGGUCGGUCACCUGGUAACAAACAAAGUGGAAAAUCAUUCCAGCGAUAAAAAACAACAACAACACACUCUUCAUCGGGAGAGUGGAAGUCUGCUCAGUUUGUCCCAGACAAAGAACAGGGUUCUACUUCCGGUCCAAAUCCUUUUCUAUGAAGCUCCAUGAAUCCCAGAUAAACAAGCUCGUCACAUGAUCAGUGGCGCCUGUUUCCUACACAGUAACGGGGCAUCUGUGGGGAAUUAUAGAUCAGCUUGUGGAAAGGGUUCUUUCAUAUUUUAAACCUUAACCCUUUCUCUCUAUGUUAGAUGGAAUAAAACAACUAAUUAUGCUCAAUACUCGUUUUUGUUCCUCUCUUCCAGAGCUGAAAUCCUUUAGUUUGUUUUCAUUCAGCUUGUCGCACAGGUGUGAUGAAUCAGAUCCAUUCUGACGUCAUUGAACGUUGACUUCAACACCAAUGACUUGUACCUGCCCUUAUUGACUUGGAUACUUAAACGUUUGGCCGUGCAAACCAUCUGACAGAUCAUCGCAAUUAGAAAAAACAAAUCCGUCAAAUUUGAAUUCUUACUAUAUUUUAUCAGCUGCUUACUAUAAAAGUUCAAAAUCACUUUCAGCAUUUGGAGUCUUUGGUAUUUACAAGAGAAAAAUCAUGAAAGUGAAAAGCCCCUGCCGCUCCUAGCUCAGCUGUCCAGCCUGCCUGUGUCUGUGUGUGUGUGUGUGUGUGUGUGUGUGUGUGUGUGUGUGUGUGUGU